rnacentral:rRNA from 1 species
AUGAGGUCGUGCGUGAGAGCUGGCACGGUGAAGCGCGUGGUCCUCACAUCGUCGGCGGCCGCGGUCUCCAGCCGGCCGCUGCAAGGCGACGGCCAUGUCCUGGACGAGGAGUCAUGGUCCGACGUCGAGUUCCUCAGAUCGAGAAAGAACGGUGCCUGGGCGUACCCUGUCUCCAAGGUGCUUCUGGAGAAGGCAGCGAGCGCGUUCGCUCUGGAGCACGGCAUCAGCCUGGUGACCGUGUGCCCCGUUGUCACCGUGGGCGCGGCGCCGGCGGCGAAGGUCAACACCAGCGUGCCCGACAUCCUCUCCCUGCUGUCCGGCGAUGAUGCGAGGGUCAGCAAACUUGAAUUCAUCGAGAAGGCGACCGGCUCGAUCCCGAUGGUCCACAUCGAAGACCUCUUCCAUGCCGAGCUGUUCCUCGCCGAGGAGGAGGCCGCGUCGGGGCGGUACAACUGCGGCAGUCUCAACACCACCGUCGUGGGGCUUGCACGCUUCCUGGCGGCCAAGUACCCGCAGUACAACGUCAAGAUAGACCGGUUCGCCGGUCUCACCGAGAAGCCGAGAGUUUGCAUUUUGUCGGAGAAGCUCGUCGGGGGAGGGUUUGAGUUCAUGUAUAAUACCCUGGACGAGAUAUAUGACGACGUCGUUGAGUACGGAAGGACCUUGGGUAUCCUUCCGUGCUAG